AUGGGAAUGGGGACCCCAAAAAUUGGAAAAGGGACCCCAAAAAUGGGGAAGGGACCCAAAAAAUUGGGAUUGGGGAGCCCAAAAAUGGGAAUGGGGGACCCCAAAAUGGGAAUGGGGACCCUAAAACCUGAGGGGAGACCCCCAAAAAUGGGAAUGGGGAUUCUGAAAAUGGGGCUGGGACCCCAAAAAUGGGAUUGGGGACCCCAAAAACGGGAACAAGGGGUGGAAAAUGAGAAAAGGGACCCCAAAAAUUGGAAUGGGGGACCCCAAAAAUGGGAAUGGGAACCCCAAAAACAGAGGUGGGACCCCAAAAAUUGGACUGGGGCACCCCAAAAGUGGGGAAGGGACCCAAAAAAUUGUGACUGGGGAGCCCAAAAAUGGGAAUGGGGGACCCCCAAAAAUGGAAAUCAAGGGGUGGAAAAUGGGAAAAGUGACCCCAAAAAUGGGAAAAGGGACCCUAAAAACUGGGGGGAACCCCAAAAAUGGGGGAGGGAGCCCAAAAAUUGGACUGGGGAGCCCAAAAAUGGGAUUGUGGACCCCAAAAAUGGGAGUGGGGACCCCAAAUAUGGGAACGAGGGGUGGGAAAUGGGAAAAGGGACCCCAAAAAUGGGAGUGGGACUCCAAAAAUUGGGGAGGGACCCCAAAAUGGGAUUUGGGAACACAAAAAUGGGAACGAGAGAUGGAAAAGGGACCCCAAAAAUUGGGUUGGAACCCCAAAAAUGGGAUUGGGGACCCCAAAAUGGGAUUGGGGAACCCCAAAAAUGGGAACAAGGGGUGGAAAUGGGAAAAGGGACCCCAAAAACUGAGGGGGGACCCCAAAAAAUUGGGAUUGGGGACCCCAAAAAAUUGGGAUUGGGGAGCCCAAAAAUGGGGAAGGGACCCCAAAAAUGGGAUUGGGGGAUCCCAAAAUGGGAAUGGGGACCCCAAAGCCAGAGGUGGGACCCCAAAAAUUGGACUGGGGGACCCCAAAAAUGGGGAAGGGACCCAAAAAGUUGGGGUUGGGGAGCCCAAAAAUGGGGACAAGGGGUGGAAAAUGAGAAAAGGGACCCCAAAAAUGGGAAUGGGAACCCCAAAAAUGGGAAUGGGAACCCCAAAAAUGGGAUUGGGAACCCCAAAAAUGGGAUUGGGGGACCCCAAAAAUGGGAAUGGGGACCCCAAAAACAGAGGUGGGUCCGCAAAAAUUGGACUGGGGGACCCCAAAAAUGGGAAAAGGGACCCCAAAAACUGAGUGAGGGACCCCAAAAAUUGGAAUGGGGACCCCAAAAUGGGAACAAGGGGUGGAAAAUGGGAAAAGGGACCUCAAAAAUGGGAAUGGGGACCCCAAAAAUUGGAGAGGGACCCCAAAAAUGGGAUUGGGGGACCCCAAAAAUGGGAAAAGGGACCCCAAAAACGGACGGAGGGACCCCAAAAAUUGGACUGCAGGACCCCAAAAUCGGAUUGGGGAACCCAGAAAUGGGAAUGAGGGAUGGAAAAAGGACCCCAAAAAUGGGAUUGGGGACCCCAAAAAUGGGAUUGGGGACCCCAAAAAUGGGAAUGGCAAUCCCGAAAUGGGACUGGGGGCCCCAAAAACAGAGUUGGAACCCCAAAAAUGGGAUUGGGGACCCAAAAACAGAACCAAGGGAUGGAAAAUGGACCCCAAAACCACAGGGGGGGACCCCAAAAACGGGACGAGGGACCCCAAAAUGCGCCUGA
ensembl:lncRNA